AAUUGAAAUUUGACUCCUAUUUUACUAUAUUUACACCCUUAUGCCCCAGACAAAAAUACUCCCCAUUCUCCACUCACAGAGGGCGCAUGACCUCUGAUCAUGUUAAUUCUCUUCUUCCCCGUUAACAACCAGUCCCCAUUCUCCACUCACAGAGGGCGCAUGACCUCUGAUCAUGUUAAUUCUCUUCUUCUUCCCUAAUUUAUCAUCACAACAUCAUUUUUCUCUCCUAACUCCUCCCUUCCUCCUUCUCUAAUUGGCGGACGAUUGGCGGACGAUUCCGACCGCCACGACUACAGCCAAGACAGGUAUGGAUUAUGACAAAUUUAAAACCCAGCAGAAAGAGCAUACUAAUCAUAUGGAUGCUCUUGAAGAAAACUAUCUAUACGAUCGCCGGGUCAUGAAUUUGCUCUCUAAAGACAUUAGAGAGGAGAUGGAAAAAUUUCAGUGUAAGCAUUCCAAAAACUUAGAAGCUUUGAUGCAAGGAAAUGAGGAAGGGCUGUCAGUGUUGUCAGAUAAAGAAAUGUUGGAUAUGGAAAGGGAGAGAAUGGAUAAAACCUUCAAAAAGCUGAAAAUUUGUAGAAUGGAAAGAGAACCGAAGUUGGAGCGAAUGAAGGACCAUAUUUCAGAGCUAGAAACGGGUGUGAAAACGGUAAACAUGGAUAAUGAAGUUAUGAUCAGAGAUUUAUCCGAAAAGAUUGAAAACUUGAAGUAGAGGAGGGCUGAGGCUGCAUGGAUAUGGUGGAGUGUUCAUGACUACGUUACUUUUAAUUACAUUUUAAUUGAAUUUAUAUGUAUUUUCUGUAUUUUUCAAUUUAUAGUCUUUGAUUUUGAACAAUGAUUACGAGUUGUUUAGUUUUUUUAACCAUGAGCAUGGUCUAAUAAAUAGUUUCUGUAUCACCAGCUUUUUUUUCCUA